CCAAUAUAGACUUAAAGUAAUAUAUUUUCUUUCCAAUCCACAGACAAUCGAGAAAAGCCAAGUUCUCCGGAUUUAUUCUCAGAGGCAUCAUUGCCACAGUUCUCACUGCAGAAUGUGUCACCACCCCAACAAGUUUCAGCAGUGUCACAUCUGUUAAGAGAGCCAGAGUCCUCAUCUGAUGAAGCCACAAAGAACUACCGCACAAAAGUCUUACAGAAGUUGCAAGAACUCUGUGAGAACCAGCAAGAUAUCCUUGCUAUGCAACGGAAAAUUCUGGCUGCUGUGGCUGUUCCAUAGGUUGAAGCAGAGGAGGGGGUUCUAGAAAAUGGACCCUGUCAAACCAUUGAACAAAAUAAACAGCUUGACAAAACAUUAGACACUCCAGAAAAAAGGACAAAGAUGGUAACAAAUAAAUAAAUACAUAUGGAUAAGCUGUAUAGUAUAUACAGCAGGGGUUCUCAAACCUGUCCUGGAGGACCCCUGGCCCUGCACAAUUAGUAUGUCUCCCUUAUCAGACACCAAAUGUAUGUCUUGCAGUCUCUACUAACGAGCUGGGCCGGGUUUCGCAAUAACGAUUGAUCUUAGCGCUUA